rnacentral:lncRNA from 1 species
GUAGGUACUCCAUUGUCUGAUGGAUCUGAGAACGCUGUCUGGGCUUGGUACCAAGAGCUGGUAUUUCACAGCAGCGACCGCCUCACAGACGAGCUGUGGGAAGCAGGAGGGAGACUCUCUCUUAGGGUGCCACUACUAUGGAGACACAGCUGGGCUGAACAAGAUUUGCUUCAAACGACAACAAGAGAGACAGAAAGUAUCUGGUUCAACCGCUGCCCGAGCAGGCAGGCACCAGAAGAGCUAGCAGCCAAUCCGGCCAUGCUCGAAGCCAGCUCUGCAGCUCAGCCAAUCAGUGACAUCAUUGCUUUCUUUAGCUUGCCCAUGGUGAUGUGAAGAUGAGAAGAAAUAGCAAGGCCCAACCAGUUCUUCAUCUGGAGACAGUUCAACGUUCUGCAAACCAGAUCUUCAGGAAUUUUACUGGGAUAAUUAUCCAAAUAAAUUGCAAGCAUUCUAUCCAAAUGGAGCUCUUUCUGAGAUGAAGAGAAUUCUCAAUGUCAAGAUUUGAACAAGAAGAGAAUGGAAUACACAAUAUGGACAUCCAUAAAAAUUCAUCAGAGAGCAUUUUACUACUGAGCUGCAAAGGCUGGAGUGCAGUGGCACCGUCUCAGGUCACUUCAACCUCCGCCUCCUGGGCUCAAGCGAGUCUCCCGCCUCAGCCUCCUGAGUACCUGGAAUUGCAGGGAAAAACUUAAAAUGGAUAUGAAAAGUGAAGAAAGUGAUCAUAGGAGAAAACCAUUUCAGAUGACAAGAGCACCUCAAAGGCAGCAGCCUCAAGGAGCAGCCAUGGCCCCAGACUUGUCGCACGGAUGCAGAAAACUUAAUGGAGGAGGCUGAGGUCAGAAUGGGAAGAGUUUUUAAAAAAUAAAAAGGGGAGCUAAUAUGUGA